GUGAAUUGCUUUGUUUGCAGAAGUAUUAAGCCCUAAUGGCUGUGGGGACCGCCCGGCUGCCCGCUGCCUCCCCAUCACUGCCACCUCUGCUCCUGGUGACCAGGGAUGUCCCCAGGGCACAGCUCCAAACCGCGGGGCUCACACGGGACCCUGCGUGCAUCGCUGCAGUGCGAGGGGUUCGUUAGGACGUGCCAGCCAGGACACGCUCAUGGAGAGAACUGAAUUCUCAAAAGUGCCAGGAGAGGUUUGAAAGGCUUUCCAAAACUGCUACCUCACUGAAAGGUCACUUUAUUGAAACUGUUGAUGAACCUCAGGGUUAUUUCAUCCCAUUCCUCAGGGAGCAGCAUCAGCAGAAACCCAAUGCAAAUGAUGAUGGUGGCUCCCAGCCUCACUACGCUGAAGAUCAUUUUGUGCUUCAACAGAUCCACAGCUGUGAAGGAGAAACAAAAAUGUCAUCAAAACUGCAGCAGGAUGAUCUACAGCAUCAGACCAGCCUGGUACAACUCCGUAACCAGUGUGUUGCACACUGGCUGUGCUACUGGCCACGUUGCCCUCAAUUCUCUGGAGUGACCAACUCCUCCAGUUCAGAGAACAGCUUUGACCUGACAGCGUGGUGCCACGUCUCUCUUCACACAGGCUCUGAGGAACCCUCUAGGGCCGGUCUAAGCCUCUAGGUUUCCAUUUCUGCUCUGCAAGGGAAGGUACUUUAUGGUAACUCUUCAUCUACAGCAGGUUGCAUCAGCGUAAUGUUUCCUUGGGCUGUGUGGACCAGCGAUGAGGUGAGAGCAGGAUGCGGGUCAGAAAGCUGGAGUUCAUGCCUCCAGGCUCAGCCUCCCAGCCCCACAACCAGCAAGAACAGCACAUGUGAGCCCCUCAGCAGCCUCUUACAGGGACUGAUUUUCACAGCUCUGACCAGCAUUCCCCUAAAAAUAGAUGUUUUCUUUGAAAACACGCUCAAAUACCUGGAGUGGUGAGGCUAAGAGGGUGGAGGAGGACACUGGAAGAGCAGAGGCAGAGGCUGUUCAACAAGACAGGACUCUGGAGUAAACUUCCAUGUGUAUGCCCUGCCGGGCUGCUACAUGGCAAGUCACCAGCGCAGCGCUGAGCUGCAGCAGCACGCUGACCCCACCACAUCUC